rnacentral:other from 1 species
AGCCUGAGAUGUGCGCGGGCUUUAAUAAUGUCUAACCUACAUUUUUUCUAGGGAGCUCGAUUUGAUUCUAGCAGCUGUUCGCAAUAGCGAAAACAAAAACUAGACUUAGGGCACCCACCUGCGAUUAGCAGGUUUUAGGCAUAUAAAGCGAACGGCAUUUUGGA